UUCAUCUCCAUUUACUUUUCAGAUUUGAUCGUGCAAGACCUGUUUUGUUUUCCUUUUCAACAUUUUUCCUCUAGCGUGUUUGGGAAAAUAAAAUUUCCAUAAAAUGGCAUGCCUCUCUUUUAAUGUUUCCCCACGAAACGUUUCCUACAAGUUUGCUUUUCCUUCUUAUCCAAAUGCUCUAUUAAUGGUGAACAAAAAUGCUCUAUCAAUGAUGAGAACCGUUCUACAUUGGAAAAACAAAUAAUAGGCACCGUACUAAAUCCUCUUAUUUACUACUAACCUUUUAAAUUGUGGCUACUUGUGUUCCUCUUCUUUUUUCUAGGAUACAUUUCUUCCACUUAUAGCGUCUUCAAGUUGAGUAAGAGUAAGAGAAGCGGAGAAUCAGAGAAGGAAGAAUUAAAAGCGAGUAUUCAUCAUGACAAUAUUAAUAAUUUACUGACUGUAAAUUUGAGGAUUUUGUCAGGAUGAUGAUGAGAUCAAGAUCAAUGAAUAGUCGUAGCAGGUGGCGGACCUAGUAAGGACCCCCUUCCUGCACAUAAAUCCUGGCUCCGUCACUGAUCGUAGCGUCAGUUUCCUGCGCAAAUGACGCCAUCAAGUCGCCGGCGAAGUCGAAAGGAUGGCAUUUUUCAAGUCCAAUGUAAGUCUUGUGGCAGUCGAAGGUGGCAUCGACAUUGGUUCAUGAACGGUUGCCUUUGAACAGAGGUUGAGUUUUAGGGUUUUUCAUUUUCUCUUUUUCAUUUCGAGUAUGUUUUUAAAUGUCAGAUAAUUACAAGCACUACUAAAAAAAGGGGAUUUUUCCACCAAAAAAUUUCGACCUCACUUUUUGGUGGAAAAAAAAUCGACCACAUGAGGUCGAAAUUUCCAAAUUAUUUUUUUUAUUUUAUUUUCUGUAGGAUUUUGACCACAUGGGGUCGUUUUUUUUACGGGAAAAUAUGAUUUCGACCUCAUGAGGUCGAUUUUUUUUGUACAAAUAAUAAAUGAAAAAAAAAUCAUUUUGCACAAAAGUAAAUUAUAUAAAUAUAAAAUAAUUAAUUAAAAAAUUAAAAAAAAAAAAUUCGACCGCAUGAGGUCGAAAAUUUUAAUUCAAAUCUGGCUUAAUUUUUUCGACCACAUGCGGUCGAAAAAUUUCAAUAAAUAAUACACCCACACAGGCGGAUGAAAAUAUUUCAUCUCCCCCCAAAACUUUCUCUUCUCUUUCAAAAACAUUUACCCUCUCUAAACUCAUCUUCCCCAAAUUUCCCACCACCCCACCAACACCGGCGUUGUCCAAGUAGGCGACACCGUCUAGUUAAACCACUGGAGUAGCCACAAGCCGCCGCCGACUGAACAGCGAGCUGGAUGGUGUGUGAUAAUUGGGGUAACAUAGACGACCUUCCCAUGGUAGACGAUGUAGGUCACAGGCCAACGUAGAUCAUGGUUUUGUGGAUGAGGAUAGUGAGGAGGAUUCGGAUCAUGUCUCUAACACCCAGCGUUGACUUUUUGAUUCGUAUACUUUUGGAUUCUAAUUUUGCUAUGUUUUCUUGGAUAUGUAUAUGAAAUUUAAGUGUUUGAAUGUAGUAUUAAUUCGAAUUAGAAUACUUUGAAGGUGAAUUUGAUUGUAGAAUGUAGUUUAUGGUUGUUUAAAUUUAUGAUGUUUAAGUGUAUCAAUGUAGUUGUAAUUUGAAUUAGAAGUACUUUAAAUUGGAAUUUGAGGUUGAAUUUGAUUGUAGAAGUAUUUUGAUGAAUUGGAUGUGUUGAUGAAUUGCA